AUCUCAUGGAUAAGUUGGUUAGAGUGUGGUGCUGAUAACGCCAAGGUUGUAGGUUCAAUCCCCAUAUGGGACA